rnacentral:lncRNA from 1 species
AAUAUUUGGCUGUUACAGAGGAGGAAGAAAAGAAGAAUCAGUCAUAGAAGCUGCCAUGGGUGUGCAUAUAGACAAAGCAUCCAACAGGCAGGAAAAUACGAAACAAAGGCUCCAGAUGGAGAGGCUCACACUGUCGGCAGAUUUAGAAAAACUCCCCUGGAAUCUGUAUGGGUGGAGCAGUUUGGUGCAGACUGACAAGAGACCCCAGUGUGUGUCACACUCUGUGUUUAGUGAAUAGCCUUGUGAAGGGCAGGGCAGACCCAAUGAGAAAAGAGACCAAACUACAUUAGUUAGAAGGCACUGCAUCAGUAACUGGGUAAGUCAGCCAAUUCCCUUUUCUCCUUUUGGUCCUCCAGUUAUGUAAUUAUUAUUUCUUAUCCACAGGCUCAAUAUACCUUUUUCCAAAACAUGUAAUCUUGCAGUUCAC